rnacentral:rRNA from 1 species
UACGGAAGGCAGCAGUGGGGAAUAUUGCACAAUGGGCGCAAGCCUGAUGCAGCCAUGCCGCGUGUAUGAAAAAGGCCUUCGGGUUGUAAAGUACUUUCAGUCGUGAGGAGGGUGUUAAGGUUAAUAACCUUAGCAAUUGACGUUAGCGACAGAAGAAGCACCGGCUAACUCCGUGCCAGCAGCCGCGGUAAUACGGAGGGUGCGAGCGUUAAUCGGAAUUACUGGGCGUAAAGGGCACGCAGGCGGUUAAUUAAGUUGGAUGUGAAAUCCCCGGGCUUAACCUGGGAAUGGCAUUCAAGACUGGUUAGCUAGAGUCUUGUAGAGGGGGUAGAAUUCCAUGUGUAGCGGUGAAAUGCGUAGAGAUGUGGAGGAAUACCGGUGGCGAAGGCGGCCCCUGGACAAAGACUGACGCUCAUGUGCGAAAGCUGGGGAGCAAACAGGGAUUAGAUA